rnacentral:rRNA from 1 species
CCUACGGGAGGCAGCAGUAAGGGAUAUUGGUCAAUGGGGGAAACCCUGAACCAGCAACGCCGCGUGAGGGAAGACGGUUUUCGGAUUGUAAACCUCUGUCCUCUGUGAAGAUGAUGACGGUAGCAGAGGAGGAAGCUCCGGCUAACUACGUGCCAGCAGCCGCGGUAAUACGUAGGGAGCGAGCGUUGUCCGGAUUUACUGGGUGUAAAGGGUGCGCAGGCGGAUUUUUAAGUCAGCGGUCAAAUCGUGGGGCUCAACCCCAUCCAGCCGUUGAAACUGGGGAUCUAGAGUGUGCGAGAGGUAUGCGGAAUGCGUGGUGUAGCGGUGAAAUGCAUAGAUAUCACGCAGAACCCCGAUUGCGAAGGCAGCAUACCGGUGCACAACUGACGCUCAGGCACGAAAGCGUGGGUAUCGAACAGGAUUAGAUACCCCAGUAGUC